AGCAGGUUUUAUUAGACAGACUCAGAAGUCUGGUGGGCCUCUCAGGUCCUGGUCUUAAAUGCUUUUACUCCGAUCUCACAGAUCCACAUCAUAAGGUUUGAUCACAGUUCUACUGAUAAUCCAGCUUCACCAUCAGGGUGAGCCGUUCUCCCAGACACUCUGAUAAACUUGAAGUUCUUCACUCUUUAUUUUUGGCUGUUGGUCUUAAAAACCAACAUCAGUGUUUCUACAACAUUUAGAGGAUCUGAACUGGAAGCUUCUGCUUCCAGCUGCAGCUGAACAUCAUCCUGAGCUGCCCAGUCACAGCUUCCUCAGGGUUUCUGAGCAGGUUCCACUCUUUAACUCAGAGCUAAGAGUUUUCUUUACAUUAACAUACGUGUACAUUUACACGUGUGUAGUAAUCCUAACCACCUGAACUGACUCACCUUAUAAUACGUACAGAAGUCAGAUUUAUUAAGUAAGAAAUAUAUAAAAGAUUAAACUAGUUCUCUCCUGCCUUGGAAAUGUUUUAACUCCCCUUGAGGAGCUUUAUGGAUAUAAUGUGACAGGACAGCAGAGGUGAGGACCCAAACGCAGACUGAUGAGGCAGGAGACAAACCAACGCCAUUAUCCAGGAUUUAAUAUCAAGGAACAAGGAAACCGAUACAGACUGAACACGAAACAACAACAAUGAUCUGGCACCGAGUCAGAGAAACCAAGGCGUAAAUAAACAGAGGACGACUAACAGGGAACAGGUGAAGUGAGGGAGCAAUCAGACCA